UGCCCCCAUCCCACCCCUGCUAUUUUUUCCUCAGAAAGAAAGCUCUAAAGGGAGCACAAGAUAUUCUCUUCCUCGACUUCAGUAAGGCCCCUGACACUGUCCCCCCUAAGAUCCUCAUAGAGAAGCUGUUGAUGUACCCUGGAGGUGUUUAAGACUACGUUGGAUGAUGCCCCAGUCAAUGUGAUCUAGAGGGUGACAUCCCUGCCCACGGCAGGGGGGUUGGAACUAGAUGGUCUUAAAGGUACUUCCCAACCCAAGCUAUUCAAUGGUUCUACAAUUCUAUGCUUUUAUGGUUCUAUCAAUUCUAUGAUUCUAUGCUUCUAUGUUUCUAUGAUUCUGUGAUUCUGUGAUUCUGUGAUUCUAUGGUUCCAUGAUUCUAUGAUUCUGUGAUGCAGGGGCUGGAUGAGCAAACAGUGAGGUGGAACAAAAACUAGUUGAGUUUUAAAUACUGAGCCCAGGCCAGUUUAACAUCUUCAUUAGAAGUGCCUGCUCUCCUUCCCUCAGAUUCACGUGGGAGGUGGAUUCUCAUGAUUCUCCAUUCGAUUUCUUUUGUGAUCUAACAGCAACUUUCCUUUUUCAAACCAUAAUUGCUUGUUAAUUGGAGAUCUUUGCUGGAGCAUAAUGUCACAACUGCCACCUCUCCUUCCUGAUCCUGUAAUUUUGGUACUCACCCAAAAGCUCCUACAAAUUGCUUUGAAUGAAAAAUAGCAGUGCAGCAGAUUAGGAGGUACCAGCCACCAAGCAGCAGAUGCCACCAGCUGGAGAAGCUCAGAAUUCCCAAAUGGAGAAAACUUUUAUAGCCCUGGCUGGGUGUAAGUAAAAACAAACUGCCAUCUCCCAGGGUUCCCAUGAUAGGUGCUGGAAAAGAGCCCAACCUACAAAGUGCAGAUCCGAUUCCAGUUUUACUAUGGUUUUGCCACUAAAGGCAGAAUAGUUAGGAAUGCCUAAACUUAUGGUUGCCUGAAACUUUUCACCUCAAAUCCUUGUUUUCAGCCACUUACAGCACGGUCAAAAAUGAAGCAAAGGGGUGUAAUGCACAAUAUAUGCCGUAGACUGGAUUUCCCUGGAUACUUCAGCCAAAAUAGU
rnacentral:lncRNA from 1 species